rnacentral:rRNA from 1 species
UACGUAGGGUCCGAGCGUUGUCCGGAAUUACUGGGCGUAAAGGGUGCGUAGGUGGCGCCAUAAGUCAGGUGUGAAAUCUCGGGGCUCAACCCCGAAACUGCACUUGAUACUGUGGUGCUGGAGUACUGGAGAGGAGAUUGGAAUUUACGGUUUAGCAGUGAAAUGCGUAGAUAUCGUAAGGAAGACCAGUGGCGAAGGCGAAUCUCUGGACAGUUACUGACACUGAGGCACGAAGGCCAGGGGAGCAAACGGG